ACUCAGUUAUGCCUAGAAGCUGGCAGAACUCCCAAGUUGUAUUUGCAGCUCUAGUAUUUUGGUUUACAAUUUUCAGUAAGGCGACCUGUGCAUCUAAGGUCAUCUUUAUAUGCAUUUUCUAUCCCAAUUACAGGGAAGGAUUACCAGGAGAGAGAAGAAUUAUACUGAUAUAAGGAUGGAGAAGGGCCACAUUUAACUAUUACAUUACAAUUAGGUCUUGUAACUUUGUCACAGACACAAGGAACUCUCUCCCAGUGUGUCACAAUACUGCUACAAAGUUCAUGUCUACAAAAUGUUUUCAGACCGCCUUUACAAAUAGUUACCAGAGAAAUGCCAAGUAUUAUUUUUAUACAACUUACAUCAGUUUGAGAGAAAAAAAAGGAGGAGUUCCUGCUGCUGAGCAGUGAGUGCUUCUGACAGAUCACAUGAAGAUAAUACAGUUUUGCUGGUGUUUGAUGGAUGAAGCAGCCAGACAGAGGCUCUUGCAGGAAGAUACAGGAUAUCUGCAGAAGCUCUGCUCCUAUUUAAACUCCCAACAUCCCCCAUGGUGCCGUACACGAUGGCUAUGCUCAGAUGCCAAGUAUGUGACACAAAUCUGACACUGGUUUGUACAGACAGAAGUGACCCAGAUACUUGUCCAAAAGUAAAAUUGUGAAAUUCCAUCUUGUCCCUGCUAUGAAUAAAAGGCACAAAACCCAAAGUACCCAGGUUCUUCAUGCACUAGAGAAAGAAGGCAGAGAAGAAAACAGACCAAUUGCUACAGAAGCAAAUAAAUAAACAAUC